UGACCUCGGAUCAGGUAGGGAUACCCGCUGAACUUAAGCAUAUCAAUAAGCGGAGGAAAAGAAACCAACAGGGAUUGCCCUAGUAACGGCGAGUGAAGCGGCAACAGCUCAAAUUUGAAAGCUGGCCUUCGGGUCCGCAUUGUAAUUUGUAGAGGAUGCUUUGGGGAGGCCGCCUGUCUAAGUUCCUUGGAACAGGACGUCAUAGAGGGUGAGAAUCCCGUAUGUGACAGGAAAUGGCACCCUAUGUAAAGCUCCUUCGACGAGUCGAGUUGUUUGGGAAUGCAGCUCUAAAUGGGAGGUAAAUUUCUUCUAAAGCUAAAUAUUGGCGAGAGACCGAUAGCGCACAAGUAGAGUGAUCGAAAGAUGAAAAGCACUUUGGAAAGAGAGUUAAAAAGCACGUGAAAUUGUUGAAAGGGAAGCGCUUGCAAUCAGACUUGUCUAAACUGUUCGGCCGGUCUUCUGACCGGUUUACUCAGUUUGGACAGGCCAGCAUCAGUUUCGGCGGCCGGAUAAAGGCUCUGGGAAUGUGGCCCCCACUUCGGUGGGGGUGUUAUAGCCCAGUGUGUAAUACGGCCAGCCGGGACUGAGGUCCGCGCUCGG
rnacentral:rRNA from 1 species